UCAAUUUGCUACAUUAAAUCAACAAAAAACAGACAAUUAAUUCCAACAUGUAAAAUUGAGAGAGUUACAAUUCAAGUAUUUGUGUUUCUAAAAUCAGGAAGUAAUCAAUUCCUAUGUAUGGUCUAUAAACAAGAAAUUAAAGAACAUAUAUUAUAUAUAUAUAUAAAAUUAGUUGAGUUUGUUCAAUGACCAGCUAUAGCAUGUGAGUUCAGUGACCACGUCCUUUGUGGCUUGGCCCAGAAUAUGCCCGGCUGAUUAUUAAACUUAUGAGGGAAGGAGCAGAUUCAUCUCUCAGAGGUCUCAUCCCCUCUACAACUUCAAUGGAGUGUGAGAGAAAGACAAAAAAUAUUAUCAAAAAAAGAAGAAAAGAACCAUGCAGCACCUUCAUUUUGUAUAUAUAUAUAUAUCUAGCAGCUUUGAACUCCAAAACGUACACAAUAUAUGGUAAUAUAUAGAAUGGUUUCGUGAUCUGGAGUAUGA
rnacentral:lncRNA from 1 species